UACGUAGGGUGCAAGCGUUAAUCGGAAUUACUGGGCGUAAGCGUGCGCAGGCGGUUUUGUAAGUUUGUCGUGAAAGCCCCGGGCUCACCUGGGAAUUGCGAUGGAGACUGCAAGGCUUGAAUCUGGCAGAGGGGGGUAGAAUUCCACGUGGUAGCAGUGAAAUGCGUAGAGAUGUGGAGGAACACCGAUGGCGAAGGCAGCCCCCUGGGUCAAGAUUGACGCUCGAUGCACGAAAGCGUGGGGAGCAAACAG
rnacentral:rRNA from 1 species